rnacentral:lncRNA from 1 species
CUGUGACUUGUGGCAUAUCUCCAACCACCUAUAGAGAGAGACAUAUAUACACGUGUAUGAAAGAGAUUCUGUCAAAUACUUAUCAUUUUAUCAUAUAAUUAAAAGCCAAAAUUAUUCCAAGAAUUUCUGGGAAGAUAUUUGAGUAGUUCAUUGAUUCAUCAUUCGGAAGUUCCUCCAGGUUUAUGCAACACUCCAAUGUCUAAACAAGCUCCACUUUUUCAUCUUCUUUUCUUAUUGUUUUCUCUUCUGCCUCAUUAUUCAAAUCAGUUACAGCCAUCACAGUACCAGGCAUUAUUGAGAAUCAAGCAGCUUUUGAAUUUCCCAGAAGAAAUUAGCAGCUGGAGUGAUAAUUCAGAUUUCUGUAACACAGAACCAAGCCAAAUUAUAACACUUUCAUGCUAUGAAGAUAGAAUAACUCAGCUUCAUGUUACUGGCAACAAUUGGUUUCCUCAUCUGCUUCAAGAUUUCUCAACUGUUUCGUUGUUUUCAAGUCUUGCUAGUUUUCCUGACCUGAAAGUUCUGUCUUUAGUUUCAUUAGGUCUAAAAGGGCCAUUGCCUUCAGAAAUUGGAAAGUUAUCAUCUCUGGAAAUAAUGAAUGUUAGUUCAAAUUAUUUUGAUGGCAUCAUUCCUGUAGAAAUUUCAUUUUUGAAGAACCUGCAAACUCUUAUACUUGAUUAUAAUAGAUUCACAGGGCAGGUUCCUGAUUGGAUUGGUUCAUUUCCAGCUUUAACCGUUCUGAGUUUGAAGAACAAUUCAUUUACUGGGCAGUUGCCAAAUUCUUUAACAAGUUUGGGAAAUCUAAGAACUUUAGUGAUUUCUGCAAAUAAUCUAUCUGGGCAAGUGCCUGUUCUUGAAAACUUGACGAAUCUUCAAGUUCUUGAUUUCUCAGACAACAAUCUUGGACCCCAGUUUCCUAGUUUGCCCUCAAAGUUGAUUUCUUUGGUGCUCAGGAAGAACAAGUUCUACUCUGCAAUUUCUGAUAAAUUAAGCUCUUGUUACCAGCUUCAGAAACUGGAUAUCUCGCUAAAUGAACUUGUUGGGCCAUUUUUGCCAUCCCUUUUGUCAUUGCCUUCACAACACCGUCAAAGUAUGACUGUCCUCAUAUAAGGUACCAUGACGACCUCAAGUCAAAGGACCAAUUCUACUACCAAACGUUAGAAAUUAACCACUGACACUCAGAUAGUUAUCCAUGUGAAAUCUCUCGGCGGGACUCCAAUGUUUUGUUCUAUAACAAAACAUACACAUGUCAUUUAAGUGUCACUACACUUUAACUUGUGAGAUCAGCUACAUACUUCACAAGUAAGAAAUGUCACACGUGAUAGUCUAUCCGUAAUAACAAUAUCCGUAUCUCGUUAUUAUUUACGACCACGAACGAUUUAAGAUUCAAUCAAAUGUAAUUUGUAUCUCACAAUCACAACUCCUUGUGAUUAACAAAUUACGAAGAUUUGAAUCUGCAGACUCUAUUAUUUAUUUAAUUGUCUAUUAAUCAAAUAAUAAAUCUGCCAUUAAAGUGCAUUAAAUAUAUAUCAAAAGUAUUUAUGACCAAAAUUAAUUGAACCUAGGGUAUAAUACUUGCAGUAAUCACAUCCUGUAAAUUUUCAAACAUAGAUGUUGGGCGGUAGCCCAAUGAGUAAGGCAAUGAUGAGAAGGGCUUGGCCCAUGUUCCUAUACUACAGCCCAAUUGGUAAAACUGAAGAAACCCGGAUGAAACCCAAGCCCACAUGUUGACCCUGAUAAGAACGGAUUUGGUAAAUGCGACUUUGGUUGUUUUACCUAAUAUCUAAAAAUGCAAGUUUCUCUGGGCUGUUGGAUGAAAUGAUACCAUGAUCUCGAUAUAUAUUCUUUGGUGGAAAAUGUAAAGACGAGUCCUUUCAUUUACUUCAUUCCGUCGAGGGUUUUCUAGAGCGUUCUAUUCCUUUUCUCCUUCAACUUCAUCUUCAUCAUUGAUGUUUGUUUUCUCUUUAAUCAGUUUAGAGAGUGUGUUCUUUGUGAAAUUUGUUGAAAAAGAGUAUCAAGAUCGAUGGUAACGAUGAGUCCUUCAGGUCCAUAGAAGAGACCGCACGUUCCUGUGGAUUCUUGAGUGAAUUUGAGUUUUUCUGUGUUGACUUGAAAGGAUUUUUUGGUUUUGAGCCUUCAAUCUAUGAUAUGUUGAUGUCCAACGGGUAGUGUGAUAAAGUGUUGUAUAGGUCGAGUCAAUCUAUUAUUGUAAUCUUGUUUUUUGUACAAUAAUAGAUUUGCGAGGAAGAAGCAAAAAAAGCUAAGCAGAAAAUAAGUAAUUGGCUUACCCAAAGUAGACCAAUGAUGGAGUCCUAUAUUGCUCAUGAAGUGUUAAAAGUGCAUACAAAAAGUGUUGCUUGGCGCUGCAGAUGGUCCCUACACUCUCCAUGCUUGGCAAAUGCAUAUUCGUCAAGUGGGAACAUCCAGCGCAACCAUGGGACGUGCUCGGCCAUGGAAAGAGAUCCGCUGAUUUUUAUACCAUUUUCACCAAAUUCCUUUCCUUGCUCAUCUAAUAUACCUUCAGAAUUCAUACAUUGCUUCCCAAAUGCAAGUCUUGUUAGGUUCUCGAACGCCACAUCUCCUAGAUAUUUCUUCACUAACAAGCUCCUCCUCAAGUUUUCUAUAUAAAUUACAACUUUCAGUAGCUUUUCACUAGAGAAAAAUAUCAAAAACUAAUUAUAAACAUACCAAGAUUAGCGCAAUGUUCAUAGAUAGACUCCACCAUAGCCGUGACUUCAUCUUCUCUGAGUGGCCUCAAAGCCUCAAUCCUUCUAGGAGAAAACAAUUAAAGUGUACAAACCUUUCUGACUUUAACAUAAUGUGGUCCAUAAUCAGCCCAAAUUAAAUCGUCUCUGUCUCCGCUAAAUCUAGCAGAGGACCACUUUUGUGCCUAUCUGCUAACUACUGAUCGUUUUCUUUCUGUACUUCUUUGCCAAAUCUGUGCUAGAAAUCAUAAAAUUUAGAGUUGAACCAAAUUAGACGGAUAUGAUGGGGCCAUAGGACUCAGCCCACCGUGCCGGCUCGUCGGGUGCUGGCUCCGCCCUUGUAGACUAGUACGUUUCACAUUUCAUGCACCAAGUGUCAAUACAGUUCACAUUUUUUGACACAUUGACCUAGAAAUAAGUACACACUAACCCGACUGUGGGACCUAAAUCACCUUUUGAACAUGUAACUGGGUAUGAAGAGUGGAUUUCUGAUGUACAUAAAAGUUUGAUAUGGAGGAGGAUAUUACUAGAUCUUUUCUUCCAUUACAAAUAGUGAAGUAACCAUAGCCACAUAUAGGUGGACAAGCUGGAUAAAAACGAUCAACCGGGUCAUGGUUGGGCAAUCGGGUUUGGAGCUGUCUGAUUGUGUUAAUGGAUCACAAAGGGAGACAAUGGACAAAACAGAUAGUUUGAUCAUGUAUUUGAACCUCAAAUUUUGAAGAUAUUGGGCUGACAUGAAUUCUCAUCUAUUGGGCUUAUUUCUGGCCCAAGCCCAUUUGGCCUUUUCUAAGCAGACCAAUGUUACAGUUAGUGGGCUUAACGCGUCCCUUUUGUGUGAAGUAGUACAUUUUGACGGAACCACUUUAACAAUUCAGCCCAUUGUACCACACGAGACUGUAGUGAGGCAUUCAGGAUUUCCAGGGAUUAAUUUGCAACAUGUAGGAACCAGUUUGACACACGCAGAAACAUUGGGGACUUAUUGGAAAUUUCUGGAAAUAUAGGGAUUGAGAUGCGUAGAAAGGAAAAAUUCAGGGAUCAAAUUGCAGUUUCCACAGAGUUGAGGAACCAAUCCGAAAGUUCUGGGAACUCUUUGCAUAAAACAGAAAAUUCGAGGACAGAUUUGAAAGAUAAUAAAAGAUUCAGGUGGGAUCAACUUUCGAGAGGUAGUUGCAAACCUCGCGGUCUCAAUUGAAAACAAUAAAAACAAAAGUUAUUCGUAAUUUAAAGAAAAAAUAACGACGUUCAUUCAAUAAGACAAUUUAGAAACAAGUCGACAUACUAUGUUUUUAAAUAUUCAUAAUCAUUGUGUUCUAUUAAAUUCUCGUAGGAAAUCCUAAAAACAGGGCAUGUGGAUGACACCUAUUGAAAAGGAUAUUUCAAACUAUUAAUAAACCUAAAACAGUUUACAUUUGUUAUCACAGGGGUCGGGUUCCGCCUUUACUCAGUGGCUCACCACUACAUGCAGUAGAUUUGGCAACGAUUGCAUUUAUCCCGUCACAUAGACACCUAGGUGGGAACAUUUUCCCAGACGAGACUCUUCUCCAAUGAGUGAGCAUGAUUAUGCAGACUAUUACGAUCCAGAAAUAUAUUAGUCCAGACGUAUGAAUUGGUUGAUAACUUUAUCUUCCUGCCCGAAGAUUUAUCUUCAAGAGUACCCUUAAGUAGUCUUCACUAAGUCAUUGUACACAUUCUAUUUAUUGUUACUUUCAUUUAGUUUUGAGACAUUUGUUACAUUGUUCAUUUAUAGGAGUUCAGGUAUGUGGCCUCUCCUUUUAUGCGUUCUUUCGAUUUUUAUGAUAUAAAAUAAGCCAAACUAGUGACCUUUAGUGGGAAAAAAAAGUUCACAUUUUUUGAAAUGCUGAAUUAGUCCAUAUUAAGCGUCCAUGUGAUUUGACAUUUGCUUGCUUAUACUUUUUGUAGAAGAGCUUCUUGAAAAAGAUAUCGUUUUUCUAAAAUAUUCUUCUAAUCAGAUAAAGUAUUUUCAGAUAGGUUCGAAAACAUUUCUUAAUCUCAUAAAUAACUUUUAACUUUACAAAUAUCUUGUUAAAGUCUAAAACCGACCGUGUAAAAUAUGGUCUUAAAUAAUCGUUUUAACUUGUAAUAUGGUAUGGAGGGUGGAUUUCGUUAUCAAAAAGUACAUCGCACGUCCGUGACCAGAAAGGUCCACUUCUGAUGAAUAAUUUCCAACUUUUUUAUUUUUCACACAGAGGACAGAAUUUCUUCUUUAUUUUUUUUAUUUUUUUUCAGCAACAGUAGCUAUCACUAAUCAGAAUCAUUGUCUUUGCAUGUCUGCAAUAAGAUCAUGUGAAUUUAUUUUGGACAUUAUUGCCUUCUUUUUCUCUUCAUUUCCAAUAAAAGAAAAAGAAAUAUUAAUUUUUUGUGGCCCCCAGAUGUUCUUUUCAUACACGUCCUUGUACAGAUGUUUUCGUUGUGAUCGAUUGAUUAUACCAAUUGACAAUGUCUUCUCAACCGCUAAGAUUUCUCGAAUAAUUGGCCUAGAUGGUAAUAUAUUUCUAUAUUUCUUGAUUAAUUUUUGUCUAAAUUUAAUAAAAAUAAAACUUAAUUUUAAGAACAGUGUAGAGAGAAAUAGACAUUCUGACUGUUGUAGCUUGUUUCCUGUACUUGUGAAAUAAUUAAUUACUCAAAUGAGUUGCCGAGACUGGUUUGCUUCGGGCAUUGUAGAAGCUCACAUUUUCAAUGUACCUAAGAUGCUUUUGUCGCAUAAAUUAAUUAUUAUUUUUUGAUGAUUUUACUAUUAGAAAAACAUUUUCUUCUACUGUUCUGUUCUGUUCUGGUUUUUUGUUCUUUAGCUCAUCUCCACCUGUGACUUGUGGCAUAUCUCCAACCACCUAUAGAGACAUAUAUACACGUGUAUGAAAGAGAUUCUGUCAAAUACUUAUCAUUUUAUCAUAUAAUUAAAAGCCAAAAUUAUUCCAAGAAUUUCUGGGAAGAUAUUUGAGUAGUUCAUUGAUUCAUCAUUCGGAAGUUCCUCCAGGUUUAUGCAACACUCCAAUGUCUAAACAAGCUCCACUUUUUCAUCUUCUUUUCUUAUUGUUUUCUCUUCUGCCUCAUUAUUCAAAUCAGUCACAGCCAUCACAGUACCAGGCAUUAUUGAGAAUCAAGCAGCUUUUGAAUUUCCCAGAAGAAAUUAGCAGCUGGAGUGAUAAUUCAGAUUUCUGUAACACAGAACCAAGCCAAAUUAUAACACUUUCAUGCUAUGAAGAUAGAAUAACUCAGCUUCAUGUUACUGGCAACAAUUGGUUUCCUCAUCUGCUUCAAGAUUUCUCAACUGUUUCGUUGUUUUCAAGUCUUGCUAGUUUUCCUGACCUGAAAGUUCUGUCUUUAGUUUCAUUAGGUCUAAAAGGGCCAUUGCCUUCAGAAAUUGGAAAGUUAUCAUCUCUGGAAAUAAUGAAUGUUAGUUCAAAUUAUUUUGAUGGCAUCAUUCCUGUAGAAAUUUCAUUUUUGAAGAACCUGCAAACUCUUAUACUUGAUUAUAAUAGAUUCACAGGGCAGGUUCCUGAUUGGAUUGGUUCAUUUCCAGCUUUAACCGUUCUGAGUUUGAAGAACAAUUCAUUUACUGGGCAGUUGCCAAAUUCUUUAACAAGUUUGGGAAAUCUAAG